rnacentral:rRNA from 1 species
UUGGCGGACGGGUGAGUAACGCGUGGGUAACCUGCCUUGCACUGGGGGAUAACACUUAGAAAUAGGUGCUAAUACCGCAUAAGCGCACGGUCCUGCAUGGGACAGUGUGAAAAACUCCGGUGGUGCAAGAUGGACCCGCGUCUGAUUAGCUGGUUGGCGGGGUAAAGGCCCACCAAGGCGACGAUCAGUAGCCGGCCUGAGAGGGUGGACGGCCACAUUGGGACUGAGGCACGGCCCAAACUCCUACGGAAGGCAGCAG